rnacentral:rRNA from 1 species
UACGAAGGGGGCUAGCGUUGUUCGGAAUUACUGGGCGUAAAGCGCGCGCAGGCGGUCUUCCAAGUCAGUGGUGAAAGCCCGGAGCUCAACUCCGGAAUUGCCAUUGAAACUGUGAGACUGGAGUACGAGAGAGGUGAGUGGAAUUCCCAGUGUAGAGGUGAAAUUCGUAGAUAUUCGCAAGAACACCAGUGGCGAAGGCGGCUCACUGGCCCGAUACUGACGCUGAGGUGCGAAAGCGUGGGGAGCAAACAGG